rnacentral:rRNA from 1 species
CCUACGGGGGCGGCAGUCGGGAAUUUUGCGCAAUGGGGGAAACCCUGACGCAGCAACGCCGCGUGGGUGAUGAAGGCCUUCGGGUCGUAAAGCCCUGUCGGGAGGGAAGAAAUGAUUGAGAGCUAAUACCUCUUGGUCUUGACGGUACCUCCGAAGGAAGCACCGGCUAACUCCGUGCCAGCAGCCCCGGUC